rnacentral:rRNA from 1 species
UACGGAAGGCAGCAGUGGGGAAUAUUGCACAAUGGGCGCAAGCCUGAUGCAGCCAUGCCGCGUGUAUGAAGAAGGCCUUCGGGUUGUAAAGUACUUUCAGUCGUGAGGAAGGUGUUAAGGUUAAUAACCUUAGCAAUUGACGUUAGCGACAGAAGAAGCACCGGCUAACUCCGUGCCAGCAGCCGCGGUAAUACGGAGGGUGCGAGCGUUAAUCGGAAUUACUGGGCGUAAAGGGCACGCAGGCGGUUAAUUAAGUUGGAUGUGAAAUCCCCGGGCUUAACCUGGGAAUGGCAUUCAAGACUGGUUAGCUAGAGUCUUGUAGAGGGGGUAGAAUUCCAUGUGUAGCGGUGAAAUGCGUAGAGAUGUGGAGGAAUACCGGUGGCGAAGGCGGCCCCUGGACAAAGACUGACGCUCAUGUGUGAAAGCGUGGGGAGCAAACAGGGAUUAGAUACC